rnacentral:sRNA from 1 species
UCACGAUUUUGCUCAUAACCUCUCUGGUUU